UCUUGUGGAGCUUCUGCAGGAAAAUGAUAGCGACGUGAUCAGGAUGACCAUUCUCCUACUCUGAUAUUUAUUCCUGGAUAAUGGUACCCCAAUACCCAGCUCCCUCGCCCUGCAGCUGGCUGAGGCGCUCCUGCCACUCUUUGACCGUGAUGAUAGCCAGGUGCAGCUGAGCUCCAUGAUGGUCUUUCAAGAGAUGCUGGAGUUAUUAUCGGAAGAUGGAAAACAUGCCCUGAAGUCACCCGUGCACCACAGCCUGCUGCCACUCUACUUCCACUGCCAUGAAGAGAAUCAGAUUGUUGCUGAGUAUUCUCGGGAAACGCUGCUUUGUGCAGCCAAGUUCCUGAAGAGGAGGGACAUCAAAAAGCUGGUGAAGGAGGCGAAAAUGUGGAAGUUCAGCAAGUGCCUGGUAAGGACGACAGAGAAUCCCCAGCCUCAGCCUG